rnacentral:rRNA from 1 species
AUUGAACGCUGGCGGCAUGCCUUACACAUGCAAGUCGAACGGUAACAGGUCUUCGGAUGCUGACGAGUGGCGAACGGGUGAGUAAUACAUCGGAACGUUGCCGAUCGUGGGGGAUAACGGAUCGAAAGCUUUGCUAAUACCGCAUACGAUCUACGGAUGAAAGCAGGGGACCGCAAGGCCUUGCGCGGACGGAGCGGCCGAUGGCAGAUUAGGUAGUUGGUGGGAUAAAAGCUUACCAAGCCGACGAUCUGUAGCUGGUCUGAGAGGACGACCAGCCACACUGGGACUGAGACACGGCCCAGACUCCUACGGGAGGCAGCAGUGGGGAAUUUUGGACAAUGGGCGAAAGCCUGAUCCAGCCAUGCCGCGUGCAGGAUGAAGGCCUUCGGGUUGUAAACUGCUUUUGUACGGAACGAAAAGACUCUUUCUAAUCAAGAGGGUACAUGACGGUACCGUACGAAUAAGCACCGGCUAACUACGUG